rnacentral:rRNA from 1 species
GAUGAACGCUGGCGGCGUGCCUAACACAUGCAAGUCGAACGGGAGACCUGGUUUCGAUCAGGUUGAGAGUGGCGGACGGGUGAGUAACACGUAGCUUAUCUGCCCCAGAGAGCGGGAUAACGCACCGAAAGGUGUGCUAAUACCGCAUAAGCUCACGAGCUAUAGAGGCUUAAGAGAAAAGUUAAGGCGCUCUGGGAUGAGGCUGCGGCCCAUCAGCUAGUUGGUAAGGUAAAGGCUUACCAAGGGCAACGACGGGUAGGGGGCCUGAGAGGGUGACCCCCCACACUGGGACUGAGACACGGCCCAGACUCCUACGGGAGGCAG